rnacentral:rRNA from 1 species
GAUGAACGCUAGCGGCAGGCCUAAUACAUGCAAGUCGAACGGUAACAGGUCUUCGGAUGCUGACGAGUGGCGCACGGGUGAGUAACGCGUACGCAAUCUACCUUUAUCUGGGGGAUACACAUUGGAAACGGUGAAUAAUCCCGCAUACGAUCUGUGAGUGGCAUCACUUAUAGAUGAAAGUUUCGGCGGAUAAAGAUGAGCGUGCGUCUGAUUAGCUAGUUGGUAGGGUAACGGCCUACCAAGGCGACGAUCAGUAGGGGGCGUGAGAGCGUGGCCCCCCACACGGGUACUGAGACACGGACCCGACUCCUACGGGAGGCAGCAGUAAGGAAUAUUGGUCAAUGGGCGGAAGCCUGAACCAGCCAUGCCGCGUGCGGGAUGAAGGCCCUCUGGGUUGUAAACCGCUUUUAUCAGGGAAGAAUGACAGGGAUUUAUCCUUGGAGAGACGGUACCUGAGGAAUAAGCACCGGCUAACUCCGUGCCAGCAGCCGCGGUAAAG